CAGCAGCCGCGGUAAUACAGAAGAUGCAAGCGUUAUCCGGAAUGAUUGGGCGUAAAGCGUCUGUAGGUGGCUUUUCAAGUCCGCCGUCAAAUCCCAGGGCUCAACCCUGGACAGGCGGUGGAAACUACCAAGCUGGAGUACGGUAGGGGUAGAGGGAAUUUCCGGUGGAGCGGUGAAAUGCGUUGAGAUUGGAAAGAACACCAACGGUGAAAGCACUCUGCUGGGCCGACACUGACACUAAGAGACGAAAGCUAGGGGAGCAAAUGGGAUUAGAUACCCCCGUAGUCCCUGUCUCUUAUAC
rnacentral:rRNA from 1 species